AAAACUCUAGAUUAAUUCACUUACAGACUCACUGUCAGAUUUACUAUUUGUAGGCAGUUUCUAAUACUUCUUGGGCUUCUAAUAGUUCACAUAUUACUUAACUAAUAUGUUCUAAGAGUCUAAUACAACCCCUGAAUCCUAAACCCCCAAUUCACUACUCUACUUCCUCAUUUUUGGUCUUGAACAUUAUAAUGGCAUCUGUUAUUGACUUAACUAGUUACUAGAAUUGAUAUUGCUAUUUCUAAGUACUCACUUGCCCAUCAUAUACCUAAUCAUACAAACCCCCAAUUGAUCACAUAUCAAACCACAAAAUCCCCAAUUCAGCAGCACACAAUCUAGUACAUACGUUCAUUAAUUUAGUCACACAAUACAACAUACCCAACUCAAUUCCACAUGCAUUCAAAUCAAAUAACUUUUCAUAUAACUAAUUCAUAUAAAUUAACAUUCGACAAUCAGAAAUUAAAAACAUCUAGCUCCCCUU
rnacentral:lncRNA from 1 species